GGUUAAGCGACUAAGCGUACACGGUGGAUGCCCUGGCAGUCAGAGGCGAUGAAGGACGUGCUAAUCUGCGAUAAGCGUCGGUAAGGUGAUAUGAACCGUUAUAACCGGCGAUUUCCGAAUGGGGAAACCCAGUGUGAUUCGUCACACUAUCAUUAACUGAAUCCAUAGGUUAAUGAGGCGAACCGGGGGAACUGAAACAUCUAAGUACCCCGAGGAAAAGAAAUCAACCGAGAUUCCCCCAGUAGCGGCGAGCGAACGGGGAGCAGCCCAGAGUCUGAAUCAGCUUGUGUGUUAGUGGAACGGUCUGGAAAGUCCGACGGUACAGGGUGAUAGUCCCGUACACCAAAAUGCACAGGUUGUGAACUCGAAGAGUAGGGCGGGACACGUGGUAUCCUGUCUGAAUAUGGGGGGACCAUCCUCCAAGGCUAAAUACUCCUGACUGACCGAUAGUGAACCAGUACCGUGAGGGAAAGGCGAAAAGAACCCCGGCGAGGGGAGUGAAAAAGAACCUGAAACCGUGUACGUACAAGCAGUGGGAGCCUCUUUAUGGGGUGACUGCGUACCUUUUGUAUAAUGGGUCAGCGACUUAUAUUCUGUAGCAAGGUUAACCGAAUAGGGGAGCCGAAGGGAAACCGAGUCUUAACUGGGCGUUAAGUUGCAGGGUAUAGACCCGAAACCCGGUGAUCUAGCCAUGGGCAGGUUGAAGGUUGGGUAACACUAACUGGAGGACCGAACCGACUAAUGUUGAAAAAUUAGCGGAUGACUUGUGGCUGGGGGUGAAAGGCCAAUCAAACCGGGAGAUAGCUGGUUCUCCCCGAAAGCUAUUUAGGUAGCGCCUCGUGAAUUCAUCUCCGGGGGUAGAGCACUGUUUCGGCAAGGGGGUCAUCCCGACUUACCAACCCGAUGCAAACUGCGAAUACCGGAGAAUGUUAUCACGGGAGACACACGGCGGGUGCUAACGUCCGUCGUGAAGAGGGAAACAACCCAGACCGCCAGCUAAGGUCCCAAAGUCAUGGUUAAGUGGGAAACGAUGUGGGAAGGCCCAGACAGCCAGGAUGUUGGCUUAGAAGCAGCCAUCAUUUAAAGAAAGCGUAAUAGCUCACUGGUCGAGUCGGCCUGCGCGGAAGAUGUAACGGGGCUAAACCAUGCACCGAAGCUGCGGCAGCGACACUAUGUGUUGUUGGGUAGGGGAGCGUUCUGUAAGCCUGCGAAGGUGUGCUGUGAGGCAUGCUGGAGGUAUCAGAAGUGCGAAUGCUGACAUAAGUAACGAUAAAGCGGGUGAAAAGCCCGCUCGCCGGAAGACCAAGGGUUCCUGUCCAACGUUAAUCGGGGCAGGGUGAGUCGACCCCUAAGGCGAGGCCGAAAGGCGUAGUCGAUGGGAAACAGGUUAAUAUUCCUGUACUUGGUGUUACUGCGAAGGGGGGACGGAGAAGGCUAUGUUGGCCGGGCGACGGUUGUCCCGGUUUAAGCGUGUAGGCUGGUUUUCCAGGCAAAUCCGGAAAAUCAAGGCUGAGGCGUGAUGACGAGGCACUACGGUGCUGAAGUAACAAAUGCCCUGCUUCCAGGAAAAGCCUCUAAGCAUCAGGUAACAUCAAAUCGUACCCCAAACCGACACAGGUGGUCAGGUAGAGAAUACCAAGGCGCUUGAGAGAACUCGGGUGAAGGAACUAGGCAAAAUGGUGCCGUAACUUCGGGAGAAGGCACGCUGAUAUGUAGGUGA
rnacentral:rRNA from 1 species